AUUCGAUUUGAGUACGUGGAACAACUUUAAGUGCGGAGUGCUAUUUGCUUGGCUUACUAAUAUUCCGCAAGGCGCAGAUCAGUCGUUCUGCGUUAUUGUGUAGAGCUCUAUUAGAUUAAAAUAUCAGCCGAUGCCAACGACGAACUCAAAAGUCAAGUAUUUACUUGGCUUUUGAGUCAUAUCAAAAUCAAAGAAGUAAAAUAUCUUGCGAAAGAGGAGCUGGAAAAAUUAUAUCGAAUGACUGCGGCACGACCCCACGAACUCUACAUUAAGCUGGGAAGGUUGAUGAAUCCACAAGCUACGUUCAAAACGACGAUUUUAAGACCGGGAGUGAGGAGGAAUUCUUCGAGUUAAGGAAUCUAGGGAAAUAUUCUGGUGAAGCCGGAGACUCCCUCACACACCAUAAGAACCAAAAGUUCACCACUUUCGAUUGGGAUCACUGUCAUUAGUGAAAGUGAAGGAAAUUGUGCCUCUACAUAUGGUCCAUUGUGGCACAAAAACUUUGGAUUUAGUACUCUCAAUGGAAAAUACUUUACAGAUGGCAGAGGUGUUUACGGAACUGCUUGGGGUUCAUGGCAUAACAACGACUGGAAUAAAUCAUAAGGCUAAAUCAUAACUUAUCCCAUUUUAUCUAUUUAGCACCAGGCACCAUUAGGAGUACAGUAUAGAUUUAGUAUUUUGUAUUAAUAUUCAAAUAUUUCAUAUUUUUAAAUGGCAGAACAACGACUGGAAUAUAUCACUUACCUUUGUUGAAAUAAUGAUGUGUCUUAUCAUAAGGCCCUUAUCAUAAGACCCAUCAUCAUUUCAGCGAAGGUAAGUGAUUUAUUCCAGUCGUUGUAUAAAUAGUAUCACUGUUAAAAUAUGAAAUAUUUGAAUAUAAAUUCAAAAUAAUAAAUCUAUAGUGUACACCUAGUGGAGUCUGGUAUUGAUUUGUUUUUCUUUGACGAAAAUGAUCUGAAGAUCAUUCUCCGGUUCUAAAUUUCCAGCCAGCUAGACAUUUAAAUAUGUCCAGAGAAUUAAUAAUAAUAAUAAUAAUUAAUUUAAGAUAAAAUCAAUGUAACUGAGAAAAACCUGUCAUUAGAAAUAAAGAUUUGAGAGAAAGAAA